UACGGGAGGCAGCAGUGGGGAAUAUUGCACAAUGGGCGCAAGCCUGAUGCAGCCAUGCCGCGUGUAUGAAAAAGGCCUUCGGGUUGUAAAGUACUUUCAGUCGUGAGGAAGGUGUUAAGGUUAAUAACCUUAGCAAUUGACGUUAGCGACAGAAGAAGCACCGGCUAACUCCGUGCCAGCAGCCGCGGUAAUACGGAGGGUGCGAGCGUUAAUCGGAAUUACUGGGCGUAAAGGGCACGCAGGCGGUUAAUUAAGUUGGAUGUGAAAUCCCCGGGCUUAACCUGGGAAUGGCAUUCAAGACUGGUUAGCUAGAGUCUUGUAGAGGGGGUAGAAUUCCAUGUGUAGCGGUGAAAUGCGUAGAGAUGUGGAGGAAUACCGGUGGCGAAGGCGGCCCCUGGACAAAGGGACUGACGCUCAUGUGCGAAAGCGUGGGGAGCAAACGAGGGAUUAGAUACCCUCUCUGGCCCAAGGGCACA
rnacentral:rRNA from 1 species